rnacentral:rRNA from 1 species
AAAAGCGGAGGAAAAGAAACCAACAGGGAUUGCCUCAGUAACGGCGAGUGAAGCGGCAAAAGCUCAAAUUUGAAACCCUCGGGAUUGUAAUUUGAAGAUUUGGCAUUGGAGAAAGCUAACCCAAGUUGCUUGGAAUAGUACGUCAUAGAGGGUGACAACCCCGUCUGGCUAACCGUUCUCCAUGUAUUGCCUUAUCAAAGAGUCGAGUUGUUUGGGAAUGCAGCUCAAAGUGGGUGGUAAACUCCAUCUAAAGCUAAAUACUGGUGAGAGACCGAUAGCGAACAAGUACUGUGAAGGAAAGGUGAAAAGAACUUUGAAAAGAGAGUGAAAUAGUAUGUGAAAUUGUUGAUAGGGAAGGAAAUGAGUGGAGAGUGGCCGAGGUUUCAGCCGCCCCUCGUGGGCGGUGUACUGCCGACGCCGAGUCAUCGAUAGCGAGACGAGGGUUACAAAUGGGAGCGCCUUCGGGCGUUCUCCCCUAACCCUCCACACUGCCACCGACGACAUAAUCCACCCAUUUCACCCGUCUUG